rnacentral:rRNA from 1 species
GGCGCAAGGGUGAAUAACACCUGGGAAUCUGCCCUUUUGUAUCGGGAUACAGUUGGAAACGACUGCUAAUACCCGAUACGCCCUUCGGGGGAAAGGUCCUCCCCAGAAGGAGGACCCCCCUUCCAAUUACCUUGUUGGGAGGGUAAUGGCCUACCAAGGCUACGUUCGGUACCUGGUCUGAAAGGAUGAUCACCCCCCCUGGGACUGAAACCCGGCCCAAACUCCUACGGGAGGCACCAUUGGGGAAUAUUGGACAAUGGGGGCAACCCUGAUCAGCCACUGCCGCGUGUGUGAUGAAGGCCUUAGGGUUGUAAAGCACUUUCACUGGUGAAAAUGACUACGGUAACCUGAUAAGAAGCCCCCGCUAACCUCGUGCGCCCCGCCGCGGUAAUACCAAGGGGGCGAGCGUUGUUCGGAAUUACUGGGCGUAAAGGGAGC